rnacentral:rRNA from 1 species
AUUGAACGCUGGCGGCAUGCCUUACACAUGCAAGUCGAACGGUAACAGGUCUUCGGAUGCUGACGAGUGGCGAACGGGUGAGUAAUACAUCGGAACGUGCCUAGUAGUGGGGGAUAACUACUCGAAAGAGUGGCUAAUACCGCAUGAGAUCUACGGAUGAAAGCAGGGGAUCGCAAGACCUUGUGCUACUAGAGCGGCCGAUGGCAGAUUAGGUAGUUGGUGGGAUAAAAGCUUACCAAGCCGACGAUCUGUAGCUGGUCUGAGAGGACGAUCAGCCACACUGGGACUGAGACACGGCCCAGACUCCUACGGGAGGCAGCAGUGGGGAAUUUUGACAAUGGGCGCAGCCUGAUCCAGCAAUGCCGCGUGCAGGAUGAAGGCCUUCGGGUUGUAAACUGCUUUUGUACGGAACGAAAAGCCCCGGGUUAAUACCCUGGGGUCAUGACGGUACCGUAAGAAUAAGCACCGGCUAACUACGUGCCAGCAGCCGCCGUAA